GUCUACAGCCAUACCACCCUGAAUGAGCCCAAUCUCUGAUCUCAGAAGCUAAGAAGGGUAGGGCUUGGUUAGUACUUGGAUGGGAGACCGCCUGGGAAUACUGGGUGCUGUAGGCU
rnacentral:rRNA from 3 species